rnacentral:lncRNA from 1 species
CCGUCAAAGAAGAAGAUUAUUUUCAUAUUUGGGCAACGACAUGUUCGUUCGUGGAGAUUUCAUCGAGAUAGAUUGAACACUCAACACUGUAUCUAAUUUCGGAUACGGAUCGAAGAAUCCUAUUUUUUUUAUUCGAUUUCAUGGAGAUAGGUUAGUAAUUCUGUUUUUCCUCUUAUAGUUUAUCCCUAAUUUUAGUUGAAUUUGUUAUGCCGCAGUAAAUCUGAGUGCGCCAUGACGAAGAAGCUCGAUAGUCAUUACCCCGCCGUAAGUUUUUUUUUUCUCUCCUAUUUGUUUUUUACCUUUUUGACUUUCCUUCUGUUGUUGCCCUUUUUUUUUUAUCAUUGGGUUUGAAUUGUGCUCGAAUUAAAAAACUGAAAAUUCAAUAUGUGCAACUUGUUUGUUUGGGGUUAAUGAUUUUAUUGAUGAUAAUAUUUCUAGUUUAUAGUUGAUUUUAAAUUUUAUAGAUUUGUUGAGAUGCAUAGAGUAUCUAUUGUAUUUUACUAUUUAUUUAAUUUCUUCUUGUAUUUAAUUUAGUUUAUAUAAUAUAUUUUUCACAUUUGCUAAUGAUCUAGUAAAUGAACUAAAGCUUAAGAUAAUAAAUUUGUAAGUUUGAGUGCUUCGUUCUGAUUGCGAUUGUUGUUUGUGCAAAUUUAAUGGUUUUGUUUUUAAUAGUCACAUAUGUUUUUUUGAGAAAAUUAGGUGUAUCUUAUUUGUAAGGUAAAAAAACUUUUCAUCUUAAGCAAUGUAUAAUGGUAAUUAUAAUUAUUGUAUUAACAUUAAAAUUCAAGGACAUAAUUUUUAAUGCUUGGAUUUUUUAAUGUUUGAUGUCCAUUAACCUAUUUUGAGUACAUAGUGUUGCUAGGAGAUGCUAAAACAUCAUAAAGAUGCUGGAUGAACAUUCUUUUAUAUUUUGAUUAAUGUAGUUUUUUUUUAUUAAAAAAUAUUAAUCAUGGAACCUGAGCUGAUAUACUUGAUAUUUAUUUGUUUGGAAUAACAAUACUGAUGAUUAUUUUAACAGUAGUUCCUAUUUUAUAAGUAUACGUUCUAGUUUUGUUGGCAGCAUAUGGAACUUGAGUGGCUUACAUGUAUUCUAUAUAGUUUUACUUUUAUGUUUCUCUAUAAGAUUUGAUUACUGUACCAAUUGACCAUAUGCACAUAACCUGCAUAACAAAAUGUUCAUAAAUGUAUUUUAUGAAGAACAACUUUCCGUGAGUACUUAAGGUUAAUGUAUUUUCCGUGUUUGCUUUUUUAUCUGUUUAUAAAGGAACAACUUUUAAUAGACGAAAUCAAAGAGGUGAAUCGGAAGGUUCUCUUUUGAUGUGGGAAAGACGUGAUUUCUUGUUUCAGGGAAACUUCACUCAUUUUGAUGAUAAAGCAAACUUUGUUCAGCAAGA